GUGCUUGCUUUGACAGCACAUAUACUAAAAUUGAAAUGAUACAGAGAAGAUUAACAUAGCCCCUGAGCAAGGAAGACAUGCAAAGUCAUGAAGUGUUCCAUUAAAAA
rnacentral:snRNA from 1 species